rnacentral:ncRNA from 1 species
ACGCCGGGGAUAACAGGCUGAUCUCCCCCAAGAGUUCACAUCGACGGGGAGGUUUGGCACCUCGAUGUCGACUCAUCGCAUCCUGGGGCUGAAGCCGGUCCCAAGGGUUAGGCUGUUCGCCUAUUAAAGCGGUACGAGAGUUGGGUUCAGAACGUCGUGAGACAGUUCGGUCCCUAUCUGUUGUGGGCGGAGGAGAUUUGAGAGGGGUUUUCACUAGUACGAGAGGACUGUGAAGAACGGACCUCUAGUGUGCCGGUUGUCGCGCCAGCGGCAGUGCCGGGUAGCUAUGUCCGGUGGGGAUAACCGCUGAAAGCAUCUAAGCGGGAAGCCUGCCUCAAGAUGAGAUCUCCCGGGGCGUAAGCCCCCUGUAGACCACACGUAGACCACGUGUUUGAUAGGCUGGGUGUGAAAGGCUCGUAAGGGCUGAAGCUAACCAGUACUAAUCGGUCGUGCGGCUUAACUUA